rnacentral:lncRNA from 1 species
CGCGGCGCGGGCCGCGGCCGGGGCGGAGGGCGGCCUCGGCGGGGCAGCUCCCCCCCUUCCCCCCCUCCCCACACACAACCGCCCCCGGUAACGGCCGCCGCGCGCCGGGGCCCAGGGCCAGGUCCCCCUUCCAAAAUGCCUUUGCUUGAAAAGCAAGAAAAUGGUGAGCAGGUGUUGAUGAAAAAUGAAAGCUAUUUGCAAAUCUUGAAAAAUAAGGAUCAGAGAAAGAGACUUGUCCAUGAAAUCUGUUCCUUUUUAGACAGCAGUCAGUCUGUCCAAGAAAUUAAUGCUUUGAGGACAGAAAAUAGGAAGCUAAAAAAUGCGAACUCAAGACUGCGAUAUAAAACAAAAGAUUGGGCAUUAAGGAAAGAAGAGUAUAAAAAUGAGAUUGAGAGACUUUCUGGCGAGAUAUCCAGCUACUUAAAUGUCACCAAUUUCUGGUAUGAAGAGUCAGAGCUUCUGAAUGGCCCAGCAGAUAAGAGGAUACCAAGGGAACAGACCAAACAUGCGAGCACUCAGACAGAGGGCGCCUACAGAGCGGAAGAAAGGACUGUUGCAACUCAGACAGGUGAAGAAAGCUCAAGGAUGACUUUGGAUGGUGGAAGAGCAGUUUAAUGUCAACGUGACUUGUUGCUGGACAACAUAAUGUUUGACAUUGUUUCAAAUUUCAGUCUUAAGAAUAUAUUCAAAUAUAUAUAUUUAUAUAAAUAAAAAUCUAUUUAAUCUUACUAAUAAUUAUUCU